rnacentral:rRNA from 1 species
GACGUAGGACACGAGCGUUAUCCGGAGUUACUGGGCGUAAAGGGCGUGCAGGCGGUUGGGUAAGACUGAUGUGAAAGCGCCCGGCUUAACCGGGCGAGGACAUUGGUGACUGCGCGACUAGAGGCAGAUAGAGGGGUGUAGAAUUCCGGGUGUAGUGGUGAAAUGCGUAGAGAUCCGGAGGAAUACCAGAGGCGAAGGCGGCACCCUGGGUCUGACCUGACGCUGAGACGCGACAGCAUGGGGAGCGAACGGG